GACGAACGCUGGCGGCGUGCUUAACACAUGCAAGUCGAACGGAAAGGCCCCUUUGGGGGUACUCGAGUGGCGAACGGGUGAGUAACACGUGAGUAACCUGCCCUUGACUUCGGGAUAACUUCAGGAAACUGGGGCUAAUACCGGAUAGGAAUCCUUGCUGCAUGGUGGGGGUUGGAAAGCUUCGGCGGGUUUGGAUGGACUGGCGGCUUAUCAGCUUGUUGGGGGGGUAGUGGCUUACCAAGGCUUUGACGGGUAGCCGGCCUGAGAGGGCGACCGGCCACAUUGGGACUGAGAUACGGCCCAGACUCCUACGGGAGGCAGCAGUGGGGAAUAUUGCACAAGGGGCGGAAGCCUGAUGCAGCAACGCCGCGGGCGGGAAGACGGCCUUCGGGUUGUAAACCGCUUUCAGCAGGGGCGAAGCUUGUGGUGACGGUACCUGCAGAAGAAGCACCGGCUAACUACGUG
rnacentral:rRNA from 1 species